UACGUAGGGGGCAAGCGUUGUCCGGAGUUACUGGGCGUAAAGCGCACGCAGGCGGUCUUUUAAGUUUGGAGUGACAGUUGGUGGCUUAACUGCCAAAGUGCUUCGAAAACUGAGAGACUUGAGGGCUUCAGAGGGACACGGAAUUCCGGGUGGAGUGGUGAAAUGCGUAGAGAUCCGGAGGAACACCGAUGGCGAAGGCAAUCCCCUGGGCCUGCACUGACGCUCAUGCACGAAAGCGUGGGGAGCAAACAGG
rnacentral:rRNA from 1 species